AUGAAUGUCGCGAUGGUAUGUUUAGAGAGAGAUUUGCCUAGUUGAGGACCGAUGAGCAUCAACAACUCAAGCAUCAGCUUACAACAGUUUCACAUGGUGCAGAGGAGGAAACUGAGGCUAACUGGGUUAAGCAACUUGCCUAGUGUUACCUGACUAGACAAGAGACUACAAAAAGAGCCAUUGCACAGUACCAAAGAAGCUCAAAGUUAAACUGCAUAGUACCAAUCGAGCACAAGGUCAAAGAGACUAACCAGUUCCAAUGGGAUUGAUGAAAUUUCAAACCAAGACCUCCGAGGACUUGAAUUGUUUUAGGGUUUGA
rnacentral:lncRNA from 1 species